rnacentral:tRNA from 1 species
UGCAACUUAGUUUAAUUAGAACCCCCAACUUGCACUUGGGAGGAGAGAUAUCUCAGUGGCGG